GCUCCAGUGGCUCAGUGCUUAUACGUUAGGCUUGAGACCAAAGGGUGCCGGGUUCGAAUUCUGGCUAGAGCA